GACGAACGCUGGCGGCGUGCUUAACACAUGCCAGUCGAACGGAAAGGCCCUGCUUUUGUGGGGUGCUCGAGUGGCGAACGGGUGAGUAACACGUGAGUAACCUGCCCUUGACUUUGGGAUAACUUCAGGAAACUGGGGCUAAUACCGGAUAGGAGCUCCUGCUGCAUCGUGGGGGUUGGAAAGUUUCGGCGGUUGGGGAUGGACUCGCGGCUUAUCAGCUUGUUGGUGGGGUAGUGGCUUACCAAGGCUUUGACGGGUAGCCGGCCUGAGAGGGUGACCGGCCACAUUGGUACUGAGAUACGGCCCAGACUCCUACGGGAGGCAGCAGUGGGGAAUAUUGCACAAUGGGCGGAAGCCUGAUGCAGCAACGCCGCGUGCGGGAUGACGGCCUUCGGGUUGUAAACCGCUUUCGCCUGUGACGAAGCGUGAGUGACGGUAAUGGGUAAAGAAGCACCGGCUAACUACGUG
rnacentral:rRNA from 1 species